GAGUUUGAUCUUGGCUCAGGAUGAACGCCGGCGGUGUGCCUAAUACAUGCAAGUCGUACGCACUGGCCCGACUGAUUGAUGGUGCUUGCACCUGAUUGACGAUGGAUCACCAGUGAGUGGCGGACGGGUGAGUAACACGUAGGUAACCUGCCCCGGAGCGGGGGAUAACAUUUGGAAACAGAUGCUAAUACCGCAUAACAACAAAGGCCACAUGGCUUUUGUUUGAAAGAUGGCUUUGGCCAUCACUCUGGGAUGGACCUGCGGUGCAUUAGCUAGUUGGUAAGGUAACGGCUUACCAAGGCGAUGAUGCAUAGCCGAGUUGAGAGACUGAUCGGCCACAAUGGAACUGAGACACGGUCCAUACUCCUACGGGAGGCAGCAGUAGGGAAUCUUCCACAAUGGGCGCAAGCCUGAUGGAGCAACACCGCGUGAGUGAAGAAGGGUUUCGGCUCGUAAAGCUCUGUUGUUGAGAGAACGUGCGUGAGAGU
rnacentral:rRNA from 1 species